rnacentral:rRNA from 1 species
UCGAACUUCGGUCCCUGUCGGUCGGUCCGCCUUCUUGGUGUGUACUUACUCGACGGGGACUUACCUCCUGGUGAGCUGCGAUGUCCUUUACUGGGUGUUGUAGGGAACCAGGACGUUUA